GACAGAGGGUGCAAACGUUGCUCGGAAUUACUGGGCGUAAAGCGCGUGUAGGCGGGCUGAUAAGUCGGAUGUGAAAUCCCUGAGCUCAACUCAGGAACUGCAUUCGAAACUGUCAGUCUUGAGUAGUGGAGAGGAAAGCAGAAUUCCUGGUGUAGAGGUGAAAUUCGUAGAUAUCAGGAGGAACACCGGUGGCGAAGGCGGCUUUCUGGACACUUACUGACGCUGAGACG
rnacentral:rRNA from 1 species